AGAGUUUGAUCCUGGCUCAGAACGAACGCUGGCGGCGUGCCUAACACACGCAAGUCGAACGGAGAUAAGGGGCUUGCUCCUUAUUUUAGUGGCGCACGGGUGAGUAACGCGUGGAUAAUCUACCUUGGAAUCUGGGAUAACAUUUCGAAAGGGGUGCUAAUACCGGAUAAGACCACGAGCUCUUUGGAGUUUGCGGUAAAAGGGGGCCUCUGUAUAUGCUUCUGUUUCAAGAUGAGUCCGCGUACCAUUAGCUAGUUGGCAGGGUAAUGGCCUACCAAGGCGACGAUGGUUAGCUGGUCUGAGAGGAUGAUCAGCCACACUGGAACUGAGACACGGUCCAGACUCCUACGGGAGGCAGCAGUGGGGAAUUUUGCGCAAUGGGGGAAACCCUGACGCAGCAACGCCGCGUGAGUGAUGAAGGCCUUCGGGUCGUAAAGCUCUGUCAGAGGGAAAGAAGUGUAUGGCGGUUAAUACCCGUUAUACUUGACGGUACCCUCAAAGAG
rnacentral:rRNA from 1 species